AAGAAUUUAGUUAAUAUUUAUAACACUAGUUUGUCAAACUAGAAUAACCCUCAAGUAAUUCUUA
rnacentral:tRNA from 1 species